rnacentral:tRNA from 1 species
GGGGCUGUAGGGUAGCCUGGUCUAUCCUGCAAGACUGGGGGUCUUGCGACCUGAGUUCAAAUCUCAGCAGUCCCA